UACGGAGGGUGCAAGCGUUAUCCGGAUUCACUGGGUUUAAAGGGUGCGUAGGUGGCUAUUUAAGUCAGUGGUGAAAGCCCGCGGCUCAACCGUGGAAUUGCCAUUGAAACUGAGUAGCUUGAGUACAGUUGAAGUGGGCGGAAUACAUCAUGUAGCGGUGAAAUGCUUAGAUAUGAUGUAGAACACCGAUUGCGAAGGCAGCUCACUAAGCUGUAACUGACACUGAGGCACGAAAGCGUGGGUAGCGAACAGG
rnacentral:rRNA from 2 species